rnacentral:lncRNA from 1 species
AUGAUGAACACUCUCCUUAACAUAUUUGUAUAUCUAAUGAUGAUAACAGUUGCCUGUCUUGGUGGAACUGUUCUCCAGACGCCUGAUGAUCUACUGAAGAAACGAGAUGAAUCUGCUGUGAUCACUUGUACUCACAAGAUACCGAGCUAUGACCGAAUACUGUGGUACAAACAAAGUCAGGACUCAUUGGGCCUAAAGUUGAUGGGAUACCUUAUUGCUGUGUCUAAGAAUAAAGAGCCUGAAUUUGAAAACAAGAUCAACUUGGAAGGAAAUGGAAGAAAUAAAGGCAUUCUGACUCUCAGCAACCUCUCACCGACUGACAGUGCAGUGUAUUUCUGUGCAGCAUAUUACACAGUGCUCAGAGUCACCUCUGUCUGAUACAAAAACCUCUUUUAAACUGCUUAUACUUCAAAAGCGUAUAUUUUAUCAUGUUCAUCUCAACAUCUGUGGGUUUUGAUUCCGUGCCAAUACUAAACACAACACACCUGCACGCUUAAAGUGUUGCUUAAUAUCUUGUAGUAUAUGGUCAAUUCGGUUCACAUCCCAACUUCUUAUAGGCAGAAACUUCUUUCUUAAAUUCAGAAUUUUGCCCCACCCUGAGAUCACCAUGAUGUCAUGAACUUACAUCCUGUAUUAUCAACUAAAAUUUGAAUCCUCACAGAAGAUUGUAAUUUAACCUAGCCAGCCUCAAUUUAACAAGAUGAGGAACAUCAUUCUGUUGAUUCUGAUGCUGCACUGCGGCCAAGGUAUUCAAACUAUCUUUAUUAAAACAUUUAACAUAUUGACCUUUUCAAUAGUUCUUGCUAGGAUAGUGUCAUUGAAAUCUAUGAGAUAUCAUCACAUCAAUAUAUAGUUUAACCAUUUCUAUUUAUGUUUACAGCCAGCAUUCUUGGUAAAAGUGUUGUCCAGACUCCUUCUGAUCUCCUGAAGAAAGAAAAUGAAGUUGCCGAGAUCAAAUGUACAAACAAUGUCCAAAACUAUGAUGUCACACAAUGGUACAAGCAAAGCCAGAUCACCAAGGACCUUCAGUUCAUGGGAUACCUGAAUAUUAAACAAGUGGUCAAGGAGAAUAAAUUUAAUGACAAGAUCAAACUGGAUGGAGAUGGAAGAAAUAAUGUCACUCUGACUAUCAACACGCUCACAGUGAAUGACAGUGCAGUGUAUUUCUGUGCAGCGUAUUACACAGUGCUCAGAGUCACUUCUGUCUGAUACAAAAACUGCACGAUUAUCAGUGACUGCAGAUUCACUCCCACUUUGCACCUGGACUAGUGGUUCAGUGAGUCUAAUGCAUACAAGUAUAGCUUAGCAAUAAAUAUACAAGGGAAUUUAAAAGGUUAUUAUAUCGAAGUGUCUUUUGUUGUUAUUAUGAAUGAUUUCUGAAGGGUUUAGCACAUGCUUAGCAUUUGAAAAAAAAAAAAACCUGAAAAAUAAUAUUAGUGGAAUUAUGCUUCUCUUCAUCACGUAUUGAAGCAUACCUUUAUACUAGUGCAUACUAGUGCAGUUCUUUUACAGCUGCACACUUUGGAGAUGUGAAAAGAGCGAAAAUAUGAAGCUCUUAAAAAUGCUCCUGAAAGUGACAAUGAUGACAAUGGCACACAUUACACUCAUGUAUUGCAAUAGCUGGAGUGCUGUACAAAACGUAAAAUGGCACUGACAGUAAUAGUCAACAGGUGGCAUUGUAGCACAACUAAUAAAUGGCACAUAUACCAAAAAUAUACAGUUUGAUAAUAUCACAGAAUGAAGUAAACUGUGCAGGUGCUACUUAAGAAUAUCAUAUUAUUAUAGAUCCAUCCAAAAUACAUCUGUAAACAUGUUUUUAGUGUAGAACCUUAAAGAACAUUUAGACAUGGACACUGCUAAAUACACAAUUCACAGUUAGUUACCAAAAAAAAAAUUCAAUUACAAAAUUUUGAGUCAGAGUUUCCUUACUAUGAUUACAGAAAAUACAAAUACAGUUGUCAGUACACUUUACAAACUUUUGUUCAAAUACGGUAAACUUGAGCUGUCAGAAUUCCCCUUUGGUGACAUCACUUCCUCGAUUGUCUUUAUUAUCUCAUCAACUGUAACUACCCACAGCAGAGUCUCAUACUGUAGCAGGGAAACAGCAUGAAUACGAUUCUACUAAGUUUCUCUGUCACAUUUAUGUGGCUCACAGGUAAUAAUGUCUUUUAUGAAGGGUUUCUUGAUUUUUUUUAUCGCAACAGCUACAUGUAAAUAAUCUUUUACUGAAAUUUCUUACUAAAUCUUUCAUUUAUUCGUCUCAUUCCAGGUACCACUUUUGGUAACAUUGUUCACCAGACUCCUUCUAAAUCAAUAAAGGACCGAGACAAAUCAGCUGUGUUCAUAUGUUCACACGAUAUAGCAAGUUAUUUCCAAAUGAUGUGGUACAAACAAACCCAGAGCACCCUGGAAUUAAAACUAAUGGGAAUCCUUAAUGGUGAAAAUGAUCAAAUAGAAACAGAAUUUAAAAACAAGAUUUUUCUGAAUGGAAACGGAAGGCGUAACGGCACUCUAACAAUUAAAACCCUCACAGUGAAUGACAGUGCGGUGUAUUUCUGUGCAGCAUAUGACACAGUGCUCUAAACUCCCUCCGUCUAAUACAAAAACUUGGCACUGUUACAGAAAUAGUUUAUCAACAAAAAGAUCCAGCCUUUGCUUUCUAACUAUAUUUGUCGCAACCUUUUGAUUCUUUGCCAAUAAUGAGCAAUAAUGAGAUGUGGGUGUAAAAGAAAAUAUCUUACCAGUGUGUGAUUCUAAGCAAUUAUUAUUGCUUGUGCUUACUAAAGAAAGCAUCAUUAUUACUCACACUUCCUAAUAUUAAUGACUGGUCAUUUACACAAACCCUUCAAAGUGAGGUGAAUGAAUGAAGCAUUUACAUAGAGCUGUAUUGUGUAUUGCUGUACACCCAAAGCACUUUACAAUCAUAUCAUGGGAUCUCUCCUCAACCACCAGCAGUGUGCAGCAUCCACCUGGAGUACAGAGUACAACGGCACCAGCGCACUCACCACUCACCAGCUAAAGGUGGAGAAGAGAGAGACAGAUAUUUGAAUUAGAAAAAAAUAUUUUAUUAAUAAUCAGAGCUUGGAGUAAUAAUAUGCAUAUUAUUAUUCGUUACUGUAACCACCUAUGAUGUCAUAUCCUGUUCAACAAAAGCUAGAGUUUGAAGCAGUUCAAAGGUUGAGACUCACUCUCCCAUCAAAACUCAACAUGACUAGUGCUAUUAUUACAUUGAUUCUGUUCCUGCGCUGCAGUCUAGGUAUGUACAACUUUAUAGCAACUGAAACAAUAACCUGACAUUCUUAUUAAUUAAAUUUAAUUUUGUCCACAGCUGCUGUUGGUGGAGAUGAUGUUUUUCAAGAGCCUAAAAUUCUCUGGGAACCAAAGAACGGUUCUGCUUCUUUGAAUUGCAAUCACAAAAAGCCUAUUUCAUACAACCAGAUGUACUGGUACCGACAGCGUCCAGGAGAAACUAUGAGGCUCAUUGUAUUCACUGUGGCUGGUGGUAAUCCAGAAUUUGGAGAUGUUGAAAAGAAGAAAUAUGAAGCUCACAAAAGUGUUGCUGUAAGUGGAUCAUUGAAAGUGAAAGAUCUCGAGCCAGACGACAGUGGCAUAUAUUUCUGUGCCGUGAGUCAACACAGUGUGUCAAAGGCUGGAGAAUGCUGUACAAAAACAUUCGGUGCAGAAAAAGACAAUGACAGCAUUAGUCAACAGGUGGCAGUCUGGUAUAACAAUAAGCAACAUUUCAAAACAGUCGAACUGAAAAAAAUAAAAAAAAUAAACGCUUGUUUAUAGAAUAGAGAAGUGCAAAAACAUGUGCCAAGGAUGGCCAAACAAUACAUAACAAUUAUAAUUAGGAUAUAAAGAGAGAAGAGAAAAAAAACCUUAAAAAAAAAAAAAAAAAAAAAACAUUAUAUUAUAAUAACCAAUAUUUCAUACAGAGUAUAAUAUUAUUAAAAUAGAAAUUAUACAAAAAUUCCAAAAAGUGAUCAUAAAUUCAAGGUUUUAGUUGCCUUUUAUUACAGGAGGUUGAAAAAUAUUCAAUAUAGGCUUUUUCAUUUCAUUUUAUUGCCUUGUAUUUUCAGGGUUUGUAUUUUCAGGGUCUGAAAUUAACAUAGUCGUUUAUUUAAGCUGUGAAUAUUUCACUUCAAAACAUUUCACACACAAUCAUAAUAACAAAAAAAAAAAAAUCAAUGAUUCAUAUUCACCUUCC